rnacentral:misc_RNA from 1 species
GAUGAAGAACGUAGCGAAAUGCGAUACGUAAUGUGAAUUGCAGAAUUCAGUGAAUCAUCGAAUCUUUGAACGCAUAUUGCGCUCUCUGGUAUUCCGGAGAGCAUGCUUGUUUGAGUAUCAGUAAACACCUCAACUUCCAUAUCUUUUUUGAAAUGGGAGUUGGACUUGAGUGAUCCCAACGCUUUUCCUCACCGAAAAGUGGCGGGUUACUUGAAAUGCAGGUGCAGCUGGACUUUUCUCUGAGCUAUAAGCAUAUCUAUUUAGUCUGCCUAAAAAACAGAUUAUUACCUUUGCUGCAGCUAACAUAAAGGAGAUUAGUUCUUGUGCUGACUGAUGCAGGAUUCUCAAAGACGGCUUCGGCCGACUUUGUAAACUCGAUCUCAAAUCAAGUAAGACUACCCGCUGAACUUAAGCAUAUCAAUAAGCGGAGGA